GCUGACACAACAGCCUGUCCCCCAAGAAGAGGGUACCACUGUUCCCUCUGCUCUAAACCCCUGCUAUGGGAAUUGCUGCCCAUCAUGUGCCAUGCAAUGGCCAAAACAGGCACUACUGUCAUCCAGAACCUCUCAGGAUCAGGGGACAGACAACCUCUGUCCUCAGGGUUAUCUGAGAUCUCCCACCCUCCUGAUGGGAAGUGCCCAUUGCUGUGACACUGCAUCCACAGCCACACCAUCCUUGCAGGCUUGGGAACUGUGCAACAGCUUUGGUGACAAUCAAGAUGAUGCUGCUUGUCAACACUAAGCCAAAACAGAUUAUUGUGAUGAGGGAAUCAGAACUCUCCAAGCACAAUCAUGAAAUCUGACCCAAUAGACUCCUGCAGCCUCUCUUGCUAUCAAUCAGCUGUAGGUUAAAUUCUCUCAGAGAAGAAAGCAAUCAAAGUUUAUUUCAGAGUGCAUUGAGAUAAUUCCUAGACCUCACUGAAAUAAAUGAAUGCCUCUCUCACAAAUUAGUGUCUGUUUGGACUUCAAUAAAGAAUGCUGAAGUUCCUGUAUUCAUUGAAUAUCCGAGGUCACAAAUAAAGAAGUCAAUUCUAUUUCUAUAAAUAUAUAAAUUCAUCAGAUUGUAUGUGCAUACAUUUUAUAAUUCCACUGCCAAUAUACAGACAUGAAUAACAGAUUUAGUCUAUAUAUAUUUUGUUUUGUGUGUAGACACAGAUACUUACCAACACAAAGUUAUCUUGAAAAUGAUGGCAUUGUGGGUAUCUAAACUUCUGCUCUGAACUGGCAUGAAAUCAGUGUUAAAAAUUAAUAUCUUUAAUCAUUGUUAGCU